rnacentral:rRNA from 1 species
GACAGAGGGUGCAAACGUUUGUUCGGAAUUACUGGGCGUAAAGCGUGUGUAGGCGGCUAGGUAAGUCGGAUGUGAAAGCCCCGGGCUCAACUCGGGAAGUGCACUCGAUACUGCUUAGCUCGAGUACCGGAGAGGUUGGUGGAAUUCUCGGUGUAGAGGUGAAAUUCGUAGAUAUCGAGAGGAACACCGGUGGCGAAGGCGGCCAACUGGACGAGUACUGACGCUGAGACACGAAAGCGUGGAG